rnacentral:rRNA from 1 species
AUUGAACGCUGGCGGCAGGCCUAACACAUGCAAGUCGAGCGGAUGAAGGGAGCUUGCUCCUGGAUUCAGCGGCGGACGGGUGAGUAAUGCCUAGGAAUCUGCCUGGUAGUGGGGGAUAACGUCCGGAAACGGGCGCUAAUACCGCAUACGUCCUGAGGGAGAAAGGGGGGGAUCUUCGGACCUCACGCUAUCAGAUGAGCCUAGGUCGGAUUAGCUAGUUGGUGUGGUAAAGGCCUACCAAGGCGACGAUCCGUAACUGGUCUGAGAGGAUGAUCAGUCACACUGGAACUGAGACACGGUCCAGACUCCUACGGGAGGCAGCAGUAGGGAAUAUUGGACAAUGGGCGAAAGCCUGAUCCAGCCAUGCCGCGUGUGUGAAGAAGGUCUUCGGAUUGUAAAGCACUUUAAGUUGGGAGGAAGGGCAGUAAGUUAAUACCUUGCUGUUUUGACGUUACCAACAGAAUAAGCACCGGCUAACUUCGUG